rnacentral:tRNA from 1 species
GCCUCCUUGGUGGAAUGGUAGACACGAUGGACUCAAAAUCCAUUGUCGCGAGACAUGUCAGUUCAAGUCUGACAGGAGGUACCA